rnacentral:snRNA from 1 species
CAAGGGGAAUCCGACUGUU